GCUCAUGUCCACAUCUGUUGGCUGGACAUGGUGUCAGCAGGCAAGGCCUGGGGUCGCUGAGGGGGCUGCAGAGUGGCCAGGAAGGUCAUGGAAGGAUCCAGGAGAGAGUGCUGUGGGCGCCUGUGAAUGAGAAGGCCCAGGACACGGAGGCGGCCAUCAGACUGUUCGUAAAUAAAUGGAAACCCGAUCUCCAAAGCUAA